AGCGAACGUUUGCGGCGGGCUUAACACAUGCAAGUCGAACGAGAAUCCCUUCGGGGAGGAAAGUGGCGCACGGGUGCGUAACACGUGGAUAACCAACCCAUUGGUUUGGGACAACACCGGGAAACUGGUGCUAAUACCAGAUGUGUCGCAGCUGUCUUCAGGCGGUUGCGAGAAAGGCCCGCAAGGGUCGCCAACGGACGGGUCCGCGUCCCAUCAGCUAGUUGGUGAGGUAAUGGCUCACCAAGGCAAAGACGGGUAGCUGGUCUGAGAGGAUGAUCAGCCACACUGGAACUGAAACACGGUCCAUACACCUACGGGUGGCAGCAGUAGGGAAUAUUGCACAAUGGGCGAAAGCCGGAUGCAGCAACGCCGCGUGUGCGAUGAAGGCCCUCGGGUCGUAAAGCACUUUUCUGAGAGAUGAGCAAGGACAGUGU
rnacentral:rRNA from 1 species